ensembl:lncRNA
CUGAGCUGAAAGAAGAAAGGAAGGGAAAGGGAAGAGAAGGAAAGGAAAUCAAAGGCUCCUUUUUCUGUAGAACACAGAUGCCUGGCUAAGUUGCUCAAUCUAAAUGAUACAGCAGUUCUGUACUCAGCAGUCAUUCUUUUUUCUCCUCAGAUUUCUACUAUCCCAUAAAAUUGGAACUUCAUCCUAUUUAAUGCUCUGUUGGUGGUGCCAUUUUGCCACAGGAGACUCUGGUUUGACGCACCCCAGGCAAGGCCUCUGCAUGCAACACCCAAGAACAAAUGAGACUAGAUGAAGAACAAAGGAAAAGGAAGAAGGUUAGACUUUAUUUCAUUACCCAGAUUCUGUUUUUAUUCCCCAGGAAUUAUUAAUGUGCUUUGGUGGUGACAAAACUGUCUUGUCUUGUGCCUUGUUCUUGAGGGGCUCGGACCACGUUCUCUUUUCACGUCUUGCCACUUCUUGGUGUCGUGGUAACCUGGAUGGAGAACCCGUGCAUCC